ensembl:lncRNA novel transcript, sense intronic to HMBOX1
UUUUUUUUUUUUUUGCUUGUGCUUAUUAAAUAGCAAGGGUCAUCUGUCAGGAUGUUGUGGUGGUGUGUGAUCAGAGCAGAGGGCCUUUCUUUUCCUGUACUGUGCUCUACUUCCUUAUGCAUGCUUGGUUUCAAAGAUGACCGCCACUUUAAAAGAAAGAUUUCCUCACAGCUCUCCAGAGAACUAUCAUACUAAGGUGAUAGGAAAGGCUUCUCGGAUACAAGCCAACAAGUCAGUUUUCUGAUUACAGAAACUCCUCUCACAGGUUAUGUUUGGAAAGGCUGUUCUCCAUUCCACUUAUAAAUUGAAAGUGAUAAGCUACUGUCUUGUGAUCUUGCAGGGCCAGUGGUUGACUCAUCUCUGAAAGGUAACUUCGUUCAUAUCUAUGUAUUUUCAAACCUGGAAGCUUGUAAAUUGGAAGUUUCAGUAUUAGCUUUAUUAUUCUUUCUUGGUGAGGAAUAGAAAUGGCAGCAAAAAGAAAGCCAACAAUCUGAAAACUCCAGUCUCCUCUAACACUGGCUUUGUUUUAAAUCAAGAUGGGAAGAGAUACAU